AAUGUUACAGAGCGGAGAGAGUGAGGAGGCUGCGUCUGGCUCCCGCUCUCACAGCCAUUGCAGUACAUUGAGCUCCAUAGAGACAGCGCCGGGGCAAGUGAGAGCCGGACGGGCACUAGGCGACUCUGUGCCUCGCUGAGGAAAAAUAACUAAACAUGGGCAAAGGAGAUCCUAAGAAGCCGAGAGGCAAAAUGUCAUCAUAUGCAUUUUUUGUGCAAACUUGUCGGGAGGAGCAUAAGAAGAAGCACCCAGAUGCUUCAGUCAACUUCUCAGAGUUUUCUAAGAAGUGCUCAGAGAGGUGGAAGACCAUGUCUGCUAAAGAGAAAGGAAAAUUUGAAGAUAUGGCAAAGGCCGACAAGGCCCGUUAUGAAAGAGAAAUGAAAACCUAUAUCCCUCCCAAAGGGGAGACAAAAAAGAAGUUCAAGGAUCCCAAUGCACCCAAGAGGCCUCCUUCGGCCUUCUUCCUGUUCUGCUCUGAGUAUCGCCCAAAAAUCAAAGGAGAACAUCCUGGCCUGUCCAUUGGUGAUGUUGCGAAGAAACUGGGAGAGAUGUGGAAUAACACUGCUGCAGAAGACAAGCAGCCUUAUGAAAAGAAGGCUGCGAAGCUGAAGGAAAAAUACGAAAAGGAUAUUGCUGCAUAUCGAGCUAAAGGAAAGCCUGAUGCAGCAAAAAAGGGAGUUGUCAAGGCUGAAAAAAGCAAGAAAAAGAAGGAAGAGGAGGAAGAUGAGGAAGAUGAAGAGGAUGAGGAGGAGGAGGAAGAUGAAGAAGAUGAAGAUGAAGAAGAAGAUGAUGAUGAUGAAUAAGUUGGUUCUAGCGCAGUUUUUUUUUCUUGUCUAUAAAGCAUUUAACCCCCCUGUACACAACUCACUCCUUUUAAAGAAAAAAAUUGAAAUGUAAGGCUGUGUAAGAUUUGUUUUUAAACUGUACAGUGUCUUUUUUUGUAUAGUUAACACACUACCGAAUGUGUCUUUAGAUAGCCCUGUCCUGGUGGUAUUUUCAAUAGCCACUAACCUUGCCUGGUACAGUAUGGGGGUUGUAAAUUGGCAUGGAAAUUUAAAGCAGGUUCUUGUUGGUGCACAGCACAAAUUAGUUAUAUAUGGGGAUGGUAGUUUUUUCAUCUUCAGUUGUCUCUGAUGCAGCUUAUACGAAAUAAUUGUUGUUCUGUUAACUGAAUACCACUCUGUAAUUGCAAAAAAAAAAAAAAAAAAAAAAAAAAAAAAAAAAAAAAGUUGCAGCUGUUUUGUUGACAUUCUGAAUGCUUCUAAGUAAAUACAAUUUUUUU